CCUACGGGAGGCAGCAGUGAGGAAUCUUGCGCAAUGGGGGCAACCCUGACGCAGCAACGCCGCGUGAGUGAUGAAGGCCUUCGGGUCGUAAAGCUCUGUCAGAUGGGAAGAAGGUUCCGUUUCUGAAUAAGAAACGGAAUUGACGGUACCGUCGAAGGAAGCACCGGCUAACUCCGUGCCAGCAGCCGCGGUAAUACGGAGGGUGCAAGCGUUGUUCGGAUUUAUUGGGCGUAAAGAGCGUGUAGGCGGUCGGGUAAGUCAGAUUGAAAAUCCCUUGGCUUAACCAAGGAAGGGCAUUUGAAACUGUCUGGCUAGAGUACGGGAGGGGGAAGUGGAAUUCCCGGUGUAGGGGUAAAAUUCGUAGAUAUCGGGAGGACCACCGGUGGCGAAGGCGGCUCCCGGGCCC
rnacentral:rRNA from 1 species